GUGCUAGAAACGAUGAUGUUGGUCCCGCACAUGUAACUAGUGUUAAAAUAGAGCUUUGCUCGUAAACCAAAUCAGGUGGACUCGGUUAACCUUGCGGAAAUGCUGGGUUGGCUCGUCUACGAAUUGUAAUAAUUAUAUGCGCGGGGGUGAAUCCUUUGCAGACGACUUGAAUGGGAACGGGGUACUGUAAGCGGUAGAGUAGCCUUGUUGCUACGAUCCGCUGAGGUUAAGCCCUUGUUCUAAAGAUUUGUUCAACUAUGUUGAACUCUUUCUUUUCCUAACGGAAUAAAUACCUGAGGGCCGGCUCCAGAGAACUUUGAAUAUGUGAGUGUUCUGUUCCUUGGAAUAGUCACUGUGAUGACUCGCAUUCUCUUCCCCGUCUUACACGACCAUGAGGAGGUAUAAGAGUUGUCUAUUGUUCGCGCAAUAGACUCUAUAACAGUGCACUUGCCAGUGCCAUUCAGUCUGACUCUUUAUCAAUAAGGUCAUCAGCAAUGAAACUGACUUUGGAGUUCUCAUUUCUUAGUGUCUAUUGAUGGAGUCUUUAUUGGGGGAGGAUCACAUUAAACUGGUGAGUUGACUGUGUUUAAAUUGGACUUGUGUACGGAUGAAUCACUUCCUACAUUCGCAGUUUCUAACUCUAGUGUUCUCCGUGACUCGGGGUACUCCUCCAAUACCUAAUGUCUAUAUUCCCCCUUUGUGAUGUUGAACCCAUUGACUCACAAAGCUUGUGGGCCGCCAUUAAGGUGCGCUGGGCAAAAGGUGGGGGUCAACACAAUGAGAGCUCAAUGUGACCUUCCUUUGGAUGUCUGACUUUUAAUGAAGUGCUCGGAAAUUGAAGUCAGUUUACUGACUACAAAAGUCUAGGUCAAAACCUGGUCACAAAGGGUAUUGAUAUCCACGGCCAUAGGACUCUGAAAGC
rnacentral:misc_RNA from 1 species